GGAGCGAUAUAUUGGCGACAAUGGGCGAAAGCCUGAUGCCAGCCACUGCCGCGUGUGUGAAGAAGGUCUUCGGAUUGUAAAGCACUUUAAUUUGGGAGGAAGGGCAUUAACUUAAUACCUUGGUGUUUUGACGUUACCAACACAAUAAGCACCGGCUAACUCCGUGCCAGCACCCGCGGUAAUAUAAAAAAA
rnacentral:rRNA from 1 species